rnacentral:tRNA from 1 species
GGUCUUAUAUUCAUUUAUGUGAUUGUAGGUUGCAAGCUUACAGGGGCAAUAAUGCUAAGGCUU